CCUACGGGAGGCAGCAGUGGGGAAUAUUGGGCAAUGGAGGGAACUCUGACCCAGCCACGCCGCGUGAGUGAAGAAGGUUUUCGGAUUGUAAAGCUCUUUCGGAUGUGAAGAAGAUGACGGUAGCAUCUAAAGAAGCCCCGGCUAACUUCGUGCCAGCAGCCGCGGUAAUACGUAGGGGGCAAGCGUUGUGCGGAUUUACUGGGCGUAAAGGGAGGGUAGGCGGGUUGGUAAGGUAGGAGUGAAAUACCAGGGCCUAACUUUGGGAUUGCCUUGAAAACUGUUUGACUAGAGUGAAAGAGAGGAUAGUGGAAUACCCAGUGUAGAGGUGAAAUGCGUAGAUAUUGGGUGGAACACCGGUGGCGAAGGCGACUAUCUGGCU
rnacentral:rRNA from 1 species